CCUACGGGAGGCAGCAGUAGGGAAUCUUCCACAAUGGGCGAAAGCCUGAUGGAGCAACGCCGCGUGGGUGAAGAAGGUCUUCGGAUCGUAAAACCCUGUUGUUAGAGAAGAAAGUGCGUGAGAGUAACUGUUCACGUUUCGAUGGUAUCUUACCAGAAAGCCACGGCUAACUACGUGCCAGCAGCCGCGGUAAUACGUAGGUGGCAAGCGUUAUCCGGAUUUAUUGGGCGUAAAGGGAACGGAGGCGGUCUUUUAAGUCUGAUGUGAAAGCCUUCGGCUUAACCGGUGUAGUGCCUUGGAAACUGGGGGGCUAGAGUGCAGGAGAGGGGAGUGGAACGCCAUGUGUAGCGGUGAAAUGCGUAGAUAUAUGGAAGAACACCAGUGGCGAAGGCGGCUGUCUGGUCUGUAACUGACGCUGAGGUUCGAAAGCGUGGGUAGCAAACAGGAUUAGAUACCCGAGUAGUC
rnacentral:rRNA from 1 species